rnacentral:rRNA from 1 species
AUUGAACGCUGGCGGCAUGCCUUACACAUGCAAGUCGAACGGUAACAGGUCUUCGGAUGCUGACGAGUGGCGAACGGGUGAGUAAUACAUCGGAACGUGCCCGAUCGUGGGGGAUAACGAGGCGAAAGCUUUGCUAAUACCGCAUACGAUCUACGGAUGAAAGCGGGGGAUCUUCGGACCUCGCGCGGACGGAGCGGCCGAUGGCAGAUUAGGUAGUUGGUGGGAUAAAAGCUUACCAAGCCGACGAUCUGUAGCUGGUCUGAGAGGAUGAUCAGCCACACUGGGACUGAGACACGGCCCAGACUCCUACGGGAGGCAGCAGUGGGGAAUUUUGGACAAUGGGCGAAAGCCUGAUCCAGCCAUGCCGCGUGCAGGAUGAAGGCCUUCGGGUUGUAAACUGCUUCUGUACGGAACGAAAAGCCUCUUUCUAAUAAAGAGGGGUCAUGACGGUACCGUAAGAAUAAGCACCGGCUAACUACGUG